UAGAGUUUGAUCAUGGCUCAGGACGAACGCUGGCGGCGUGCCUAACACAUGCAAGUCGAACGGGGUAAUAUCCUUCGGGAGAUUACUUAGUGGCGGACGGGUGAGUAACGCGUGAGGAACCUGCCUUUCAGUGGGGGACAACAGUUGGAAACGACUGCUAAUACCGCAUGACACUUCUAGGGGGCAUCCCCUGGGAGUCAAAGCUUUAAGUGCUGAAAGAUGGCCUCGCGUCUGAUUAGAUAGUAGGCGGGGUAACGGCCCACCUAGUCGACGAUCAGUAGCCGGUCUGAGAGGAUGAACGGCCACAUUGGGACUGAGAUACGGCCCAGACUCCUACGGGAGGCAGCAGUGGGGAAUAUUGGGCAAUGGGCGAAAGCCUGACCCAGCAACGCCGCGUGAAGGAAGAAGGCCUUCGGGUUGUAAACUUCUUUUAGCAGGGACGAAGGACGUGGCGGUACCUGCAGAAAAAGCAACGGCUAACUACGUGCCAGCAGCCGCGGUAAUACGUAGGUUGCAAGCGUCGUCCGGAAUUACUGGGUGUAAAGGGCGUGUAGGCGGAGGAGCAAGUCAGAUGUGAAAUCCCGGGGCUCAACCCCGGAACUGCAUUUGAAACUGUUUCCCUUGAGUAUCGGAGAGGCAAGCGGAAUUCCUAGUGUAGCGGUGAAAUGCGUAGAUAUUAGGAGGAACACCAGUGGCGAAAGGCGGCUUGCUGGACGACAACUGACGCUGAGGCGCGAAAGCGUGGGGAGCAAACAGGAUUAGAUACCCUGGUAGUCCACGCUGUAAACGAUGAAUACUACGUGUGGGGGGACUGACCCCCUCCGUGCCGCAGUUAACACAAUAAGUAUUCCACCUGGGGGAGUACGACCGCAUGGUUGAAACUCAAAGGAAUUGACGGGGGCCCGCACAAGCAGUGGAUUAUGUGGUUUAAUUCGACGCAACGCGAAGAACCUUACCAGGAUUUGACAUCCAACUAACGAAGCAGAGAUGCAUUAGGUGCCCUUCGGGGAAAGUUGAGACAGGUGGUGCAUGGUUGUCGUCAGCUCGUGUCGUGAGAUGUUGGGUUAAGUCCCGCAACGAGCGCAACCCCUAUUGUUAGUUGCUACGAAAGAGCACUCUAGCGAGACUGCCGUUGACAAAACGGAGGAAGGCGGGGACGACGUCAAAUCAUCAUGCCCCUUAUGUCCUGGGCCACACACGUAAUACAAUGGCCGUCAACAAAGGGAAGCGAAGCCGCGAGGCGGAGCAAACCCCCAAAAGCGGUCUCAGUUCGGAUUGCAGGCUGCAACCCGCCUGCAUGUAGCUGGAAUUGCUAGUAAUCGUGGAUCAGCAAGCCACGGUGAAUACGUUCCCGGGCCUUGUACACACCGCCCGUCACACCAUGAGAGUCGGGAACACCCGAAGUCCGUAGUCUAACCCGAAAGGGAGGGCGCGGCCGAAGGUGGGUCCGGUAAUUGGGGUGAAGUCGUAACAAGGUAACCA
rnacentral:rRNA from 1 species